GACUGAAAAUCUGUCAGAGGAGUUUUCUCUGAUUUUCAUCUUUUUCUCAUGAGCAGAAGUAGAAAUUUUAGAGAUUUCAAAAGGAAGUAAUUACUAGUAAAGUUUUAAAAGACAGCAAGAACAGAUCUGGACAUGAAGAGGAUACCGAGUGGCUAUGGGUUAUUGGAUUUAUCAUUUAAAACAAUGUGACUGGGUAAGUUAAAAAAAAGUCCAUGGCCCAAUUAUUCAUUUACAAAAUGAGGAUAAUAGUAAGUCAUUUU
rnacentral:lncRNA from 1 species